CGUCACAGGGAGGCCACGCCCCCGGGGGCGGAGCCCGUCGGGCGCAGAGUCCCGCCCCUGCUCCGGCCCUUGUCAGUCAAGGGCUCGGCUCCACCGCCUUUCCGUUUCCCAGGCAACGGCUUUGCGGCCGCUGGCGGGGAAACCAUUCUUCCCUGGAGGAGCUACGAACUUACGUCUCAGAUCCGCUUUCCGGGUGACCUCGGUCCCGGACCGUUAAAUCCGCCAAGUCGCCUCCCUCCCUCCGCUCCGAAGGCCGCGAGCGCCUCAGCGCCCGCCCUUGGACUUCCUGCCCGGAAAUCCGGGCGGUUUUCGAGGAAUCGCGCGAGGCCCCUCCGAGGUCGCCAGCACGGAUUUCUCUGCGGCUUAGAGGCUAUCGGCGCAGCCUCUUGCACUUACUUGCAUCCCACAGUUCAGGAAACGUUUACCGAACUCGGCUAAGAGUGGCUCCGUGCCCGGCGCUGGGUAGAAAUGGCCUGUUGGGUGCACUGAGUCCCUUCCCAUCUGCAGGGACACAGCCUGUGCCCAGCAGUCAUCAAGGCCUCUGUCUCCAUUCCCUCUACAUCAGUGUCCCUGCCUGUUACAGCGAUCUCUGCCCUGAUGCUGAUGCCGAGGCAUUCUUUUGCUAGGAAUUGUGGAGGAAUCUUGACCUCGUUGCAUCAUUCCCUCCAGGGGAGGUUCUGGGCAGCUCCCUCCUCUUUCUAAAUAUCCACACCUUUUUCCUCCCAACUCAGGCUGCCAGAGGGACAAGGCAGGCCCCAGCCUUUCGUCCCAGCCCCCUCCAACUUUCUCCUUCCACCCUCCAAUCUUAGACCGGCAAGGUUUGCACCUGACCAGGAAAACAGGGGAGGAAUGCUUCCUCCCCUCCCCUCACACCUCCGAUAGGAGAGUAACCAGCUCCUGCUAACAAGCAACAAACAGUUCCUUCAAGAAAGCAGCAGAGAAUGAUUGUGACUAGCUUCAGUGAACAGAGAUGUAUUGGGAGGACUCUGCAAUAGCUCUCACAACCAGAGAUGGGGCUAGCUAGCCUGGCCUUGGAAAGAGCGGGAAGCUGGACAUCUCUGGGGACCUCAGCAACUGGAGUUUAUAGACACUGCCAUUAAGGUCUUCUGCUGAGCCUGGCUCUUCCUGCUGGACCUGCUUGUCACUGCUAGUGAUUUUCUUUCCAGGCCCCAUUUCUGCAAGCUGCCUUCUGACACCUAAACCCCCAGGCUGUCAGACUCAUCUGCUUACAUCUGACCCCUGAGUCGUGGACGAGAUUCAAGUUCUUUUCUUGAACUUUGGCUAAAUCAGGUGACUUCCAUUCAAUUGCCCCAAACUUUCCAAGACCACUAAAGAGGCUUGCUGUGUAAAGGAAACAGGCAGACUCCCUAAAUCUGUGGUUUCCAAACUGUGUACUCAGAUAUCCCAGACUACCACAGUGAAUUUGCAAGACUGCUACAGGAUAUUUUCAGUUUUUGAGAGGAACCCAACAAUACUCUGCAUCUGCUGGACAUUGCACGAACUACUAACUCAGGUUCAGUUUCAAAAUUAGAUUCUGCUGCAUUAUUUUCAAUGUCUUCGCAAAAGUGCAUUUUUUAUUAUUGCUGUACCAAAAAAAAUAGCAAGAACUACACAAAAGUCAAUGUGGCACAGAAAAUGAGGGUGGCAGUAUCCAAGCUGAUUCUGAGUUUUUAGUAGAAGUUAUGCAGAUCUGAACAGGUGCAACAUCCCAUUAAUAAGUAAUGAAGGUUAAGAACUACAAAAAAAUGGGGGUGCUUGGCUGGCUCACUGGGUAGCCAUGCAACUCUUGAUCGUGGGGUGGUGAGUUCCAGCCCCACAUUGCAUGUGGAGCCUACUUAAAAGUAA